rnacentral:rRNA from 1 species
AUGCAAGUCGAGCGGCAGCACGGGUACUUGUACCUGGUGGCGAGCGGCGGACGGGUGAGUAAUGCCUAGGAAUCUGCCUGGUAGUGGGGGAUAACGCUCGGAAACGGACGCUAAUACCGCAUACGUCCUACGGGAGAAAGCAGGGGACCUUCGGGCCUUGCGCUAUCAGAUGAGCCUAGGUCGGAUUAGCUAGUUGGUGAGGUAAUGGCUCACCAAGGCGACGAUCCGUAACUGGUCUGAGAGGAUGAUCAGUCACACUGGAACUGAGACACGGUCCAGACUCCUACGGGAGGCAGCAGUGGGGAAUAUUGGACAAUGGGCGAAAGCCUGAUCCAGCCAUGCCGCGUGUGUGAAGAAGGUCUUCGGAUUGUAAAGCACUUUAAGUUGGGAGGAAGGGCAGUCAGCGAAUACCUGGUUGUUUUGACGUUACCGACAGAAUAAGCACCGGCUAACUCUGUGCCAGCAGCCGCGGUAAU